UUCGCAAUGCCCGAAAGGGUGACGAAGCGGCGCCGCGUGAGCGAAGAAGGCCCUAGGGUUGUAAAGCUCUGUCGGGGGUUGUGAAAUGUAGAUCGGUUAAUACCCGGUUUAUUUGACAAAGGCCCCAAAGGAAGCCACGGCUAACUCUGUGCCAGCAGCCGCGGUAAUACAGAGGUGGCAAGCGUUGUUCGGUAUUAUUGGGCGUAAAGAGCACGUAGGUGGUUUUGUAAGUCAGAUGUGAAAGCCUUCUGUUCAAAGGAAGAACGGCAUCUGAAACUGCGAAUCUUGAGUGUAGGAGGGGAGAGUGGAACUUCUGGUGGAGCGGUGAAAUGCGUAGAUAUCAGAAGGAACGUCGGCGGCGAAAGCGACUCUCUGGCCUAUUACUGACACUGAGUGUGCGAAAGUUAGGGGAGCAAACGGGAUUAGAUACCCCGGUAGUCCUAACCGUAAACGAUGGGCACUAAGUAGAGGGGUUUU
rnacentral:rRNA from 1 species